UUCAUACUCCCUCCGUCCCAUAUUAAGUGACGAAAUAUUACAUAUAUCUAGAUGCUUUUCGGGCAUACGUACAUCCAUAUUUGGGCAAAUUUGAGUCACUUAAUAUGGGACGGAGGGAGUACUUU
rfam:Brachypodium distachyon strain Bd21 chromosome 1, whole genome shotgun sequence.